rnacentral:lncRNA from 1 species
AUGUUUGGCAAAACAAAAAUACUGAAGAUGGACACACAGGCUGUCAAAGUUGAUGACUCAGAAGUAAACUUUCUCUCAGCACAGCUCUUGAGAACAAAUGUCUUCCCUUUUCGGAGCUCACUCAACAGUUUGGAAAGAAAGAAAAAAAAACGAAGCACUGAAGCAAACUUUCUCAGGAUCUUCUGUGGCUUGAAUGAAAGAUUGGCUCACGAAGGGGAACGCACUCGGGCUCACAUUAGCGCUAAUAAGUGGAACAAGAACAGAUCAUUUUGCAUAGUCAGUGUUACUGUUUUCUAUGUGUCUCAGCAUUCUGAGAAGUAAAUUACUCAAUUAAAGAAUAGGAUUUGAUGGUAACUCUCUGUGGUGUAGAGAUCUUAUUCAAAUGACUGUAAGUAGGGCACAGUCUAACAGCAGCAGGACAAGGCAAGGUAUGAAGAAUUCGAUAUGCAUUCUCCAGGCUAUUGUGAAGCGUCUCACAGUGUCAUGCCACUGGGAACUGAUUGUCUUGGGAUCUUAGGUAAAGGUCACAGUUCAAAUUCAAGAGUUAUGAUCAUUUGGCAAAUUUUAAAAGACUUCUGUUAUUCCACCCACCCACCCACUCACUCCCAGCAUUCAGGGCCCUGCUUUAAUGUUUGGUAUUAGACUAGCCUGAUCUUCCUUCUUGUGAGCUUUUGUAAUACAAACAGCAAGACUUUUGUAUGCAGGCAUGGAUUCCCCACACACAUACACACACCCCCUUCACCUUCACAAAAUAGGUUCAAACAUCAUUGUCAUCAGCUUGCUUGCUAUUAUAAUGUAUUAAAAUCAAAUACGGAUCUCUCUGUCCUGCCUCUCUCACUGCAACUGUGGUCAUCUGGAAUAUCUUCAGAUACAACAGUUACAAACCCUUCCACAUCGGCUCAAGUGAUCACAUUGCCUGAAUCAAUGCAUAUUUAUUUGCUUCCCCCAAAAAGUAGAAGUCCCAGACGCAGAGGGGAAAAAAACAUAGAUUAGGUGGGGAAAAAAACUCUGGGCUGAUUUGUACUGAUGUUUGCAUUGUGUAGUUAAUGAAAAAUAAUAAUGUGAAUCAGACAUCCCAAUAUUGCCAU